rnacentral:rRNA from 1 species
GACGAACGCUGGCGGCGUGCUUAACACAUGCAAGUCGAACGGAAAGGCCCUGCUUUUGUGGGGUGCUCGAGUGGCGAACGGGUGAGUAACACGUGAGUAACCUGCCCUUGACUUUGGGAUAACUUCAGGAAACUGGGGCUAAUACCGGAUAGGAGCUCCUGCUGCAUGGUGGGGGUUGGAAAGUUUCGGCGGUUGGGGAUGGACUCGCGGCUUAUCAGCUUGUUGGUGGGGUAGUGGCUUACCAAGGCUUCGACGGGUAGCCGGCCUGAGAGGGUGACCGGCCACAUUGGGACUGAGAUACGGCCCAGACUCCUACGGGCGGCAGCAGUGGAGAAUAUUGCACAAUGGGCGGAAGCCUGAUGCAGCAACGCCGCGUGCGGGAUGACGGCCUUCGGGUUGUAAACCGCUUUCGCCUGUGACGAAGCGUGAGUGACGGUAAUGGGUAAAGAAGCACCGGCUAACUACGUG